AAUUGGGCACAACAUCCUGCCACCAAACGUCUCUGCCUGACGUCCAUUUUGUGUCUUCUCUCUUCAUUGCCGACUGAUUUUCGUAUGUCAAAGAAAUGCCUACAUCGACUCCAUUCUUCGCACUGUCAGCCAGCGACACAUCUACUAUAUCUUUGAGAGCUAUGAGUUUCUUUCCCCUUUUCACCGCGUUGCACGUAAUCACAACCUUAGGCUUGCAGUCAAUGAUUCUUUGUGCUA
rnacentral:misc_RNA from 1 species